rfam:Rattus norvegicus chromosome 12, whole genome shotgun sequence.
GGGGAUUUAGCUCAGUGGUAGAGCACUUGCCUAGCAAGCGCAAGGCUCUGGGUUCGGUCCCCAGCUCCG